CCUACGGGUGGCAGCAGUGAGGAAUAUUGGUCAAUGGACGCAAGUCUGAACCAGCCAUGCCGCGUGCAGGAAGACGGCUCCAUGAGUUGUAAACUGCUUUUGUACGAGGGUAAACGCAGAAACGUGUAUCUGUCUGAAAUUAUCGUACGAAUACGGAUCGGCUAACUCCGUGCCAGAAGCCGCGGUAAGACGGAGGAGUCAAGCGUUAUCCGGAUUUCUUGGGUUUAAAGGGUGCGUAGGCGGUCGGAUAAGUUAGAGGUGAAAUCCCGAGGCUCAACUUCGGAAUGGCCUCUGAUACUGUUCGGCUAGAGAGUAGUUGCGGUAGGCGGAAUGUAUGGUGUAGCGGUGAAAUGCUUAGAGAUCAUACAGAACACCGAUUGCGAAGGCAGCUUACCAAGCUACUUCUGACGUUGAGGCACGAAAGCGUGGGGAGCAAACAGGAUUAGAUACCCGGGUAGUC
rnacentral:rRNA from 1 species